GAGAAAUCUCGUGCUGCCAAGCCACACAGUGUUGCUACUGCAGGAGAGUAAGGGAUGCUGUUGCCUGGAGGCACAGAACUUGGAUACUGCUCACUGAUGUUCCCAGGGAUGUCUGUUGAAGUAUCUGUUGCUAUUUGACCAUGGAGAGCUUCAGAGGGAAGGCUGUCCUGGUGGGUGGAAAUGAUCCCUUGGUACACACAGUGGAAAAGAAGCAGUUCUUCCUGUCCCAUCCACCCACUUGCCAGCAGCAUCUCCACAGGCCGUGCUGAGCAUCACUCCAUGGACCCGACCCCACUGCCAGCCACUGCUGCCAUUCAGACUGCUGAAGUCAAAUUAGGGUCAGAUUUUGGGUGGCUCUGCCUGGAGCCAGGAGUUGGGCUCAGUGCUUCUUAUGGAUCCCUUCCAACUCAGAAUAUUCCACGACUCGAUGAUGUUAUGAUUCAAGGGGAUCUCAGGAAGUUGCCCACACCAUGGCGUUACACAAAGGACUCAGGAAAGGGGCAGGAUCCACGAGACCAUGCAGAAGACGGGAUCUUCCGUAGCUUUUCUUCCCGGGGAAGGGCUCUGAGGAGAGUUCUGCACCCUCUGCAGUGGGGAACAGCACAGUCACUUUCUUGGAGAGCUGCACAAGGUCAAUCUUUUUCCUUUUUUUUUUUCCCCAUUGGUCAUCAUGGCAUUUCUGAGCUUCCCCUGUCAAACACUGUGGUGUUUGGGGAGGAAUGUAAGCGAAAAAAAAGGGCAACUUUGGGUGUUUAAAGAACAGGUUUUCCAAUAGCUUGCAAUGUGCAGUUUGCUGCUUGCCAGGCCUUCUCAACUUCUUUAGGAUCUGCCCAUCUGCUGUGCAACAGUGGGUGCAAAAUCUUAUGUUUAUCCAGGACUGAGCAUAGCCCGGCAGCCCUUGUUGUUACAAUUAAGCUACGCGCUACUUUUCAUAACUCAUUAGCCCUUUAGCUUCUGGAUUAAUUCAAUGUGCAAAUAACGUCACAAAUUGAAUAUUACUGGACUUCUAUUGAGUAUUAAGCGGCAGUAAAAGCACAUUGCUGUGUCUUCAUUCUGCUUUGCACGACGGUGGUUUGUCCAGCGUGUCAAGCAGCUCGUUAGCCUCCCGACAGCUCAGUGCCUUCUUUCCAUGCUGGUUUUUUUGUGUGGUAACCCAGAUAUUAGAACAGAAAUGCAACGACUGCACGGAAAAGUGGGGAUAGGCAAAAAGGAUACAGCUUUUGGGUGGGGUUGCUUAACCCAGCCUAGGCACCCCUAUUACUGCCGUGCAGAAAAGCAAGCUUUGCUAUGGGCGCAGCGUCCCACGUCAGCCAGAGAUCCCCAUAGGAUGCCAGCACUGCUCCAGGGCCUUGGCUGCAUUUGGGGCUGAAGGAGUUGCAAUGCCAACACACUCCCAAAGCUCCAAACUUCAAACGUGUUGGUGUUACCAACAUGGGCAGAAUGGCUCCAUGCCAUGGGAACCUCCACGGCACCACUGAGCAAAAUGGGUGCAGCUUUCUUUCAACGCGCUGAAGUGGAGGCAAAUUUCAAUCUAAUAAUGUAAAGCAGCAAUAACCAUUAUAAUUAAUUUAUAUAAAAGGCAUUAUAAAAUUACACUUGAUGCAUUUAAAUCCCAUCCAGGAGCAGUGCUCGUUUUCCAGUUAAGCUAUGGGCUGUGCUAAGGCAGACGGAGAAAGAGGUAUUUCAAUAUUUUUAUAAUUUUAUAUUCUUUCUAAUAUCUCUCAUGCUAAUUUCAUUAUGCAACACAGUCAG
ensembl:lncRNA